rnacentral:rRNA from 1 species
CCUUGAUGGCGACCGGCGCACGGGUGAGUAACGCGUAUGCAACCUGCCCGAUACCGGGGUAUAGCCCAUGGAAACGUGGAUUAACACCCCAUAGUACUUUUAUCCUGCCUGGGAUGGGAGUUAAAUGUUCAAGGUAUCGGAUGGGCAUGCGUCCUAUUAGUUAGUUGACGGGGUAACAGCCCACCAAGACGAUGAUAGGUAGGGGUUCUGAGAGGAAGGUCCCCCACAUUGGAACUGAGACACGGUCCAA